CUAUAUUGUGCAGUCUGUGGAGAUGGUGGGGAGAUGUGUGUUUGUGACAAUACAGAGUGUACGAGAGUAUACUGUAAUAUAUGUAUUAUAAUACAUACAGAUGAAGACACUUUAAAAAAGAUAGAGAAUACAAGCCACUGGAAGUGUUUCCUGUGUGAAGAGUAUAGCCCAGUGUCACAUGGGGAUCUGGAAGCACAUGAAGAUUGGUCACUUGAGCUUGUCAAGUUUCAUCAGGCUUUGAAUGUAUCAAUG